UUUUGCUGAAGUUAUGUUAAUCUGAGAUUCUUAUAGGAGAAUAAUGUAUCCUAAGAGUUUUGAGUUUGGGUUUGGGUUUCCAUUGCCUGCUUGUGCUCUUUACUGCCAAAAGGUAUUUCUAAUGCAUUUCUAGUUGCAAGGCAGAGCAGUGAAAAGGUAAACUCUUUUGAGUUUAAUAUUGUUCCCAUUCAAAGGGCUUGUUUGCAGUGGAACCCACUUAUGAACUGCUUGGGCUGUAGCAUAUGUGAUAUUUGUGAAUCUCAACUCCAAACCAAACCCAACAAUGUUUCACUUGCUUCGGAGUGCUUUGGAGUGUUCACAUUUGUAGCUGGUGUAUACAUCUGGUCAUCAGGUGUAGAUUUCCACGAUUUAUUCUUUGAUAUGUUAUAGUUUGUUUUGCAGAAUGCUUUACAGAGGAUUGGCUUAUGUCUUUUUCUGUAGUAUAGGGGACGUGAUUUUCUUUGUUUGCUGAGUAUUCAUUUGCUAAUAAUUCCAGGAUUUCUUUUGUCAGGGACAACUUAACCUGUUGGUGCCAAAUCUGCUCUCUUCUGUUGUUUUGUUGUGACAUGGAGGAAGAUCAUCUGGUGUGGUACCCGCAGGCCCCGGCAUCUACCAUAAGGUGUGGAAAUAUCAGCUGAUUUGCACCACACCCCACUGUUCUCCUGACAAAAGGAGCACUCAGGAAUUGAGCCUAGGCUUCUGAACAGAGCCUAAUGCCUCAUUUGGAAAAACCUAUUGAAAUUCUAGAAAUUGAAACAACCAUGGAUUACAUGGGCUCGGCACCCCCCCACAUAUGUAUUUGCCUGUCAUUUCUUUAGGAAACUCUGCAAAAACAGGAAGCAUGAACUUUGCGCCGGACCAUGGAAGUCCAAGCUUUCUCCUGGAG